AUCCAAACUCGGUAAAGACUAAGUUAUUUAUUCUUUCCAGGGUUUAAUAUGUCGUGGCAAAUGUUCCUUUCCUUUGCCAUGUUGCUGAAGAAAGAGGUGCGUGCCCUUGAGCGUGGCAAGCUGAUGUAAGAGACGGGUCUUCUCAAGAUCGGGACGCCUUCAUGGUCAUUGUCACGAGUUCCGACCCAAAUGCUAUUUCUUGACCGCUGCAGACUUUUCUAUCGUCUAUCUCGUUCGUCUGGCGGAAUGCAGAGGAGUUAACUUGGAGGAAUUAACGUCGUCUGUGGCAGCAGGUAUGUGUUGGCCCUUAGGUAGCCCAUAGUAAGCUCAUAGUUUACUUGAAGUUCAUGUUUUGUUUUGUCAUAGAUCGGUAACCUUUUGCUUUUGUCACAUUUAUAAUGAAUAACUUUAAUAUCAUAACCAAGGUUUACUGUGAUCUAAUGGACAGUGUUACUUGCCAAUUUAAUGCUCAGGCGUAACUUUACGGGUUAUAAUUAUCUGAAUAAAAUUUAACUAAACAACUAGUUUGUUGGUGGUUUAUCCUAAGUGUAAGAAUACAGAUAUUAAUGAACCAACAGCUCUACCGUUAGCAGUCAGAGCUAGAAGUUGUAAUUUUUAGGGUAUGUAGGAGUUUUGAGAGAAGAAAUAAAACAGCUAUCAAGUG